AACGAACGCUGGCGGCAGGCUUAACACAUGCAAGUCGAGCGCCCCGCAAGGGGCGCGGCAGACGGGUGAGUAACGCGUGGGAACGUACCUUUUGGUUCGGAACAACUCCGGGAAACUGGAGCUAAUACCGGAUAAGCCCUAACGGGGAAAGUUUUAUCGCCGAAAGAUCGGCCCGCGUCUGAUUAGCUAGUUGUUGAGGUAACGGCUCACCAAGGCGACGAUCAGUAGCUGGUCUGAGAGGAUGAUCAGCCACACUGGGACUGAGACACGGCCCAGACUCCUACGGGAGGCAGCAGUGGGGAAUAUUGGACAAGGGGCGCAAGCCUGAUCCAGCCAUGCCGCGUGAGUGAUGAAGGCCUUAGGGUUGUAAAGCUCUUUUGUCCGGGAAGAUAAUGACGGUACCGGAAGAAUAAGCCCCGGCUAACUUCGUG
rnacentral:rRNA from 1 species